rnacentral:ncRNA from 1 species
GCAGAGUAGCGUUUUUCGCGUUAAGUGUUCAUGAACGGGGAGUUGUCAUGGAACGAAGCGGCAGUCAGCCGCGCGGUGGAAAAUGCGCAUCCCGCUGC